GCGGAGGAAAAGAAACUAACAAGGAUUCCCCCAGUAACGGCGAGUGAAGAGGGAACAGCCCAAAUUUGUAAUCUGGCCCCUUUGGGGUCCGAGUUGUAAUCUCGAGAACUGUUUUCCGCGCCGGACCAUGUACAAGUCUGUUGGAAUAUAGCUUCAUAGAGGGUGAGAAUCCCGUACAUGACAUGGACUACCGGUGCUUUGCGAUACAGUCUCUAAGAGUCGAGUUGUUUGGGAAUGCAGCUCAAAUUGGGUGGUAAAUUCCAUCUAAGGCUAAAUAUUGGCGAGAGACCGAUAGCGAACAAGUACCGUGAGGGAAAGAUGAAAAGCACUUUGGAAAGAGAGUUAACAGUACGUGAAAUUGUUGAAAGGGAAACGCUUGAAGUCAGCCUUGUUCUUGGUUGUUCAGCCCUCCGUGGCGUAUUCAACUUUGAGCAGGCCAGCAUCAGUUUUGGGUGCUGGAUAAGGGCUUAGGAAAUGUGGCAGCCUUGGCUGUGUUAUAGUCCUUUGCUUGAUACAGCGCUCCGGGACUGAGGAAUGCAGCGAGCCUUUUGGCGGGUCCAUUUAUGGACCUUCUCGCUUUGGAUGCUGGCGUAAUGGCUUUAAACNACCGUCUUGAAACAC
rnacentral:rRNA from 1 species